GGAGAAGCGCCGCCACAGCUCCCGCCCUUCACUCCGACAGCUCCGAGCUCCGAUCUCCGAUAGUGCUCACUCUACACGUAGUCCGGUCCUGCGCGGCGGCAGCGGCAGCUCGGCGGGGCCCGGCAAUGCCGGCAGGGAGGGCACGGAGCAGCCGGUGCCCCUGGGGGGCGCUCCUGUCCCGCCGGGAGCUGAGGUUGUUCAAGCAUCUUGCACAGUCUACAAAGAACUAUGCGUAUUUCUUGAGUCCUAUGGGGAAUGUUUUUGGAGAUCCCUGUCUACCCUUGCUGACAUCACAGGAGCUUAAGCAAUAGUUCCAGGAAGCAUUUUGUGAACCUCUGAUGUCAGUUCUCUGGAUGUAACAUCAGUACUCUGGCAAUAAACUGUUGCCCAGUAUUUGAAGACAAUCCAUGCUCAAGAACUUGACUCAUCCUUUCAGCAGGCUGAAGGAUUUUCUGGA
ensembl:lncRNA